rnacentral:rRNA from 1 species
AUGCUUCUUCCUCGUGACAGCAAUGGCGACGCCGCCGCCGCGCGCGCCCCGUUACUCGCCAGCUACCGCGUCCCGCUCCCGCCGGCCGACCCCCUCCUAGACGAGCCUCGCCGGUCAGAAUGGCUCAGUUUCUGGCGCGGCGGCCCGACGUCGGAGGUGGAUUGGGGCUCCGUGCGCGCGACGUGCAAGGAGUGGAUCAAGCACCCCAUGAACAUCGCGCUGCUGCUCUGGCUCCUCUGCGUGGGCGCCUCCGGCGGGAUGCUCGUGCUCCUCCUCCUCGGGCUCCUCGACCGGGCGUUCCCGGCGCCGGCGGCGAGGGCCCACUGGGUCGAGGUCAACAACCAGGUGCUCAACGCGCUCUUCACGCUCAUGAGCCUCUACCAGCACCCGGCCCUUUUCCACCACGUCUUCCUGCUCUGCCGCUGGCGCCUGCCCGGCGACGCCGCCGAGCUCCGCGCCGCGUACUGCGGCAAGCAGGGCGGCGGCCCGCCGCGCCGCGGCGAGCGCGCGCACAUGGCCGUCGUCGUCGCGCUGCUCCACCUCACCGUCGUCUGCCAGUACGCGCUGUGCUGGCUCUACUGGGGCUUCACCGAGAGGUCCCGCCCCGAGCUCGCGGAGGACGGCUUCUUCGCGCUCGGCGUCGGUGCGCCGGUCGCCGCCGUCGUGUACACCGUGCGCAGCCCGCUGGGAAAAGACCCGUGUGGUGACCUCGCCGCGUGCCCCGACGCCGCCUCGCUAGGACAACGAUGCCCCGCCAGGGCGGCGCACGCCGUGGCGGUGGUCGAGCCGGAGUGGGCAGGCGGCAUGUUCGAGUUCGACUGCGGCGGGGACGCGGCGGCGGGGUGCUGCCUCUCCCUCUCCUGCGCCUUCUGCGUCUUCGGGUGGAACGCGGAGAGGCUCGGCUUCGGCAACGCGUGCGUGCACGCCACCACGUUCGCGCUCCUAUGCUUCGCGCCGCUGUGGGUGCUGGGCGUCACGGCGCUCCGCGUCCACGACGUGGCCGUCGGCGACGUGGUCGGCGGCGCUGGCGUGCUGCUCUGCGCGGGCGGCCUCCUCUACGGCGGGUACUGGAGGAUCCAGAUGAGGAGGAAGUUCCGGCUCCCGGGGAGCACCGUGUGCUGCGGCUCCAAGUCGGCCACAGACUACGCACGGUGGCUGUUCUGCUGGCCGUGCGCGCUGGCGCAGGAGGUGCGCACGGCGAGCCGCUACCACAUCGAAGGCGAAAGCUUCUUCCACAGGAAGGCCGCCGCCGCCGCCACGAACGACGAGCCAUUGCUCAUCGGGCCGCACAGGAUCGCGAUUGCGGCGUCGGAUCACGAGGGAUCAUCAAAAUCAGACGGGCACUUGCUGGUGGUUGUUCAUGACGAGAUGGUUCCACCGCCUGUGGUUCAGGUCGUGGUGGCGGGGGACGACGACACAUGCGGGCAAUGCAAUGCCGAUCGUGUUGAGAAGAAGAUCGAGGCGAUCGACGUGGUAGAGGAGGAUGGAUCGUCUUUGUUGGCGUCGAAUGGAGAAAUGGUGGACCACAGAUUGUCUGGUGGAAGGUGGAGGGUGGAGAAGGUGAAGAGGAUGAUCAAUGUGGUCACCAUGGUGUCCUUGCUUGUCCUUCUGUACGCAAGGGGAUUUAUUUUUUAG